rnacentral:rRNA from 1 species
CAGCAGCCACGGGAAUACAGAGGGUGCAAGCGUUAAUCGGAAUUACUGGGCGUAAAGCGCGCGUAGGUGGUUCGCCAAGUUGGAUGUGAAAUCCCCGGGCUCAACCUGGGAACUGCAUCCAAAACUGGCGAGCUAGAGUAUGGUAGAGGGUGGUGGAAUUUCCUGUGUAGCGGUGAAAUGCGUAGAUAUAGGAAGGAACACCAGUGGCGAAGGCGACCACCUGGACUGAUACUGACACUGAGGUGCGAAAGCGUGGGGAGCAAACAGGAUUAGAUACCCCCGUAGUCCCUGUCUCUUAUAC